CAAGCUAAAUGCAUGAACGCCUGCAUUGCUCUCUGCGCGCCAACUACUUGUUCAUAUCUUAUCGUCAGCCUUCAUGGGUGAAUAUGUUGUAGUCGACUUGCAUACGUAACUGGAGGUUGACCUGGACAUAAAAUUUCGCGGGACGACACUGACUAUAUUUUAUUGAAGUCAAACGAAUCACCCGUGACUCUCUAGCGGAAAAUGAAGCCUGUGUUUAUCACUGUGCUACUGCUCCUGUGUGUGACGUCACAGGCAAAACCCCCAAACAUUAUCUUCAUUGUAGCGGAUGACCUGGGCUGGGGUGACGUCGGCUUCCAUGGUUCUAAGAUCAGGACCCCAUUUUUGGACAAACUUGCCUAUAAUGGCAUCCUCCUCAACAACUACUACGUAUCUCCGAUAUGUACCCCGACUAGAAGCGCCAUCAUGACCGGCAGACACCCCAUACACACAGGUCUACAGCACGGGGUAAUAGGGGAGGCUACUCCGUAUGGUCUGUCUCUGAACGAGACCAUCAUGCCGCAGUACCUCAAUGACCUGGGGUACGCUUCGCACAUCGUUGGUAAGUGGCACUUGGGCUUCUUCACCAAGAACCACGUUCCAACUAUGCGCGGGUUCGAAUCCCACUUCGGCUACUACACGGGGAAGGAAGACUACUUCGACCACACAAGCAAGGGACCGAACAUGUGGGGGCUGGACUUCCGCCGGAACCUUGACUUGGUGCGUAAUGAUGAUGAGGAAUAUUCGACAACACUAUUUGCGUCAGAGGCCAGUGACGUCAUAAAAGCUCAUAACCAGUCAAAGCCACUUUUCCUGUAUCUGGCCUUUCAAGCAGUGCAUGCUGGGAAUCCCGGUGGCGAUUCCAUUCAAGCACCACAGAAAUAUGUUGACAGAUUCCCAGAUAUUAAGGAUACACAGAGGAAACUCUUUGCUGGGGUGGUGUCGGCUCUUGAUGAAGCUGUUGCUAACGUGACGGCGACGUUGCAGCAGACGGGGAUGCUGAACAACUCCAUCAUCGUCCUCACGACCGACAACGGUGGACCCACCAAUGGCUACGACAACAAUGCGGCAUGCAACUGGCCUCUUAGGGGCUGCAAGAACACGAUGUGGGAAGGAGGAGUACGGGGAAAUGGCUUCGUCUACAGCCCUCUACUCUCUACAUCCGGGUACGUCCAGGAGAACAUGAUGCAUAUCACUGAUUGGCUGCCCACACUCUACCACGCGGCCGGAGGUGACGUCAGCAAGCUCAGGAACCAAGAUGGUUACAAUCUGUGGGAAAUGUUGUCGAACAAUGGCGCCGCUGUUAGAAACGAAAUAUUACAUAACAUUGAUCCCAUACAGAACUUUUCAUCUAUUAGAGUUGGGGAGUAUAAACUUGUUAUGGGAGAUAUCUCAGGAGGCCGAGAUGAUUCUUGGUACCCGCCGCCAGAAGGAAAGGACUACAAGAUGAAACAUCCCUCUGGAAGUGAAUUCGUGAAAGAGUUCAAUACAAACGACCAUCCAGUGAACGUCAAUUGCGGCAAGAAACCCGUGGAUGCCGAGACUAACUGUCAACCGGAAGUGUCGCCAUGUUUGUUUCACAUUCCCAGCGACCCGUGCGAAUUCCACAACAUAGCUUCCACAAACCCAGACCAGGUUCAGUCGUUACUGGCCAGACUUGAAGAGUACAGGAAAACCAUGGUCCCUCCCGCCAACAAGCCCUCUGAUCCUAAGGCCAACCCCCAACUUCACGAAGGUGCGUGGACAUGGUGGCUCUAAGACCAUAUUAACACAGGUACAGUGUUAGUUGUUGAUUCCCGAGUUGAAACUAAAAAGUUAACCGGGAAUCAGUCCAUAAGAGAACUAAGUGUGAAACCAACUGACAUCAAAGAAAUGUGCUGUAAUUAACAAUUGUAUUCUAAAAUUAACUAAGUUCACAAGUCAGUACAAAGGUAUAACUUUAGCAGUACAAAAUUGCGUGGGAGAACAGAUUCAUUGGCAGUAUGAUACAAGAGCAGUGAUAUAGCAAUAAGGAUUCACCUAUCAGCAAUAGUAACCCAACUUGCAACUAUACCAUUAAAAAAAAGUAGGGGAUAUUCCAUUUUGCGAGCAUACCACUAGCCAAUGCCAAUGCACAUGAGAAAAAGAAAUAUAUAUCCAUGCAGAUAAAAUAUUUCCAAAGGAAUAGAAUAAAUUGGCACAUUUUCCCUUAAUUUCUCUUCAUCAUCUCUUUCCUCCUUGGCUUCAUCAUUCGCAUUUUAUCAAUCUCGUAAAUCCAAUACCCCCUACUUUUUGAAUGGUAUAUUUAUGCAACGAUAUGAUCAUCACACACAAUGAAUGUGGUCUUGACUUGUGAUGUAAUGUGAGAUCAGAGGCAAUAGCUAGCUCCUCAUAUAUACACAAAAAUAAUAUCAUUAUGUUUUGUGAAU
rnacentral:misc_RNA from 1 species